rnacentral:rRNA from 1 species
UACAGAGGGUGCGAGCGUUGUUCGGAAUUAUUGGGCGUAAAGCGCUUGUAGGCGGCACGGUCAAGUCGCGUGUGAAAUCCCCAGGCUUAACCUGGGAAGUGCGCGCGAAACUGACGAGCUUGAGUGCCGGAGAGGGUCGCGGAAUUCCCGGUGUAGAGGUGAAAUUCGUAGAUAGUCGGGAGGAACACCAGUGGCGAAGGGCGGCGACCCUGG